rnacentral:rRNA from 1 species
CCUACGGGUGGCAGCAGUGAGGAAUAUUGGUCAAUGGGCGCGAGCCUGAACCAGCCAAGUAGCGUGAAGGAUGACUGCCCUACGGGUUGUAAACUUCUUUUAUAAAGGAAUAAAGUGAGGCACGUGUGCCUUUUUGUAUGUACUUUAUGAAUAAGGAUCGGCUAACUCCGUGCCAGCAGCCGCGGUAAUACGGAGGAUCCGAGCGUUAUCCGGAUUUAUUGGGUGUAAAGGGAGCGUAGAUGGGUUGUUAAGUCAGUUGUGAAAGUUUGGGGCUCAACCGUAAAAUUGCAAUUGAUACUGGCAGUCUUGAGUAUAGUUGAGGUAGGCGGAAUGCGUGGUGUAGCGGUGAAAUGCUUAGAGAUCACGAAGAACUCCGAUUGCGAAGGCAGCUUACUAAACUGCCACUGACAUUGAUGCGCGAAAGUGUGGGGAGCAAACAGGAUUAGAUACCCUGGUAGUC